GCUUUAACUCGCGAUCCGCGAGGCGGAUGGUACCGGGAACGCGAGUCGUAGGUGCAGGUACCCGAUGUAACAAGGAUCGAGACUCUUAAGCUAGGCGAGUUCUAGCUCCUGCACUCUGUGCCGGAUCCCGUGGAGCACGGUGGCACGGACGGCAUUUUUCGGGGGGGGUUUGAACCUCGAGGAGAGCCAGGUGCAGGUGUCCAGGUGUUUCACGCGGGGGAGAGUCCGUCCUUGCGCGCCCUGUGCCCGAGUGUCGACCGAGAACUGUUAAACGAGAGAGGAAUGUCCAGUGUGCGUGGUCUCUAGGUCGAGGGUGUCCGUAGGAUCGAGGAUUCAUCGAUCACGGCGUGAACGUGUCUCCAGGUGUCCGAAUGUUUGAGGUAAACACGAAUGCCGCGACGUGAUCGAGCCAGAUUCCGAGAUCAGAAACAGUAAGCAACCAGUUGCCGUACGGGAUUAUCCUUGGCGAUCGAGACCGACGAAGGAUAUAUUUCUGUUCUUCGUGGGCUGGGAAGAAGGAAGAGGAGAUGUUCUUCGCGGUAAUCGGACUCGACCAAUAGCGGAAGGAUUUAUCCGAGUCGACGAGGAGCCGCGUCGAGAAGGCGGCCCGUCGUUCGUUAAGAUCGUGUCGCGAUAUCCGAUUUCUUCGAUUAUAGUAAUAGUAUCGACGCGAUAAAGCACCGCGUCCUUCCGCCACGGGGAAAGAAGAAGCCGAGAUCGAUUUUUGACGCCUGACACGAGCGGCGUUAUCCUUCGUUCCCGUCCAGGACGCGGCUCCUGUUGAUUAUAAGCGCUAAUGGCAACGACGGUCGAUCGAUCAUCGACCUCGUUAGCCGCUGGGAUACUUGGUCGAUGAUUGUGCUCGCUUGAUCGAUUCCUCGAGCCGGAAGAAGAAAACCUUUCUCGAUUCUGGAGAAAUGCGUUACACGGAAUAUUGGAGAUAUGUGGUGCGCGUAACGUCAUAGUUUUUAAAUCAACCAACCAGGCCUAACUGUGCUUUGUAAAAAUUUCUCAUGAAAAUUGUUGGUUAGCCUAAGUUUCCGACAGUGGGUGAAUCUACUAGGCUUAACUUAGCCUCCGAUCGACAACGAAAAUUCUUCGAGUGUCUUCGAUUUCAGCGACAGAGUUCAGUGAUAGUUAGCGGGGGAGUCGUACGACGGUGUGUUUAGCGCAAGAAGAUAACGACCUUGAAACUUUUCCACACGGAUCCGAGAGCUGACUCGAACACCGUCGAGAUGCUCCACGCUCGACAACGUGACUACAGCUAAAAGGUCGUGAUCGAUCGGCUCGCUUCGAUGGCCUAAGAGAACUUUAAACGUGCAAGGUCGUUAUGCAUAGCGAGAAAAGGGGGACGCUCUAAACCGCGUCAAGUUCUCGUCCGACUAGAACGGAAUUGACCGUUCCGUAGGGACAAUUUGCGAGGCCUACCCGACCUAUUUACUACGAAGAGAACACAGUAGCGUCUCAACGGAAAGAGAGCCCUUCUCGAGACAGUCCAGAUGACGCGAUAGCGGAACCCGCUGAUCCGCGCGAUGCCGUGUCAAGGACAUUCGCAGAAACGGGAACGUACCGGCACUAAGGAAAUGUGGCACGCGGAUCGCGGAGCCUCCCUCGAAUUUUCACAGGGUUAUCGACAGACCGCGAAGUCGCGGACGUGUCUCGCCAGGCGACGAUAACGGAGGAUCUUGUAUCGCCUAGUUUCGAAAGCCUAACAUACUCAACGAAAUCGUAGACCGGGUACAUCGUUCACGAUACGCUUCAACGACGCCUUCUCAUCGGAUUUCCACGUGGUCCCGAACGGCUCACGGAAGAAGAUUCUCAUCCAUGGAAUCGUCUUAAUCCCAAAUCGAUAUCCAUCCUAGUUGAUAGCCCGACGCGGGGAACGGAGUAGAAGAUUUCGGUGCCGCCGUAAUCCGCUAAAUGAGAUCCACUAAGGAAAAAGUCGAUCAAGCGGCCCAGAAAGCUACCUCUGUUCCGUGCAAGAGGAACCUCGUCAGUCGACCUCGCAACCGAUCCAGCCUCUGACCCCGUCGUCAGCAUACAAAGCAGCCCCGCCAGCACUCGAUGAGUCCUAGUGGAGAUAAGGAUCCUCGAGCACUCUCGAUCGUUCGCCUCGAAAGCUUGAAGAAGCUCCGGUUGGCACCUCUCUGAGAGCGGUUGGGUGAUGCGCGGGAGUAGCUCCGAGCUCCUGCUGGAGGCGAGCUGCGUCCAGUGCCAGAGCGAUCAUCCAAGCCAGCAUAGGCAUCAGCAGCAUCAGCUGAACGAGAAGCACGACUUCCAGGAGCGAGAGCUACGUCGUCGCAAGCUGUUGGAGCUCGGGUUCGGCGCUUCGCGGCGCCGACCGCCACGGCGUACCUGCCGUCAGCGGUUCAACUUCUACGCCACCUCGGCGUUGGCCUUCGUCGCGACGUCUGGCGGGGCGGCGCUCCUCUUCCUGGUGCCCCUCUACGUCGAUCCGGCGAUCAGCACCUUGGCAGCAGAUUUCUCCCCCGAACCGGUUAUCUGCACCACGUCCAGACGCGAGGAGCUUUACGGUUUGUUCAACUGCACGUGGAGCUCGUGCCGCGAGGGAUGCACCAGUGACGUUUACAAGUGCACCCAUAUAUACGUCACUUACACACCAUGGAGCAACACCAGUAUGAACAACGACACCGGAGGUAGAGGGAACAACGCGAACUCUACCGGCGUCGCGCACACCUCGACCACUCCGGUGCCAACGCCAGGUGACGUCGAGGCGGCGCUCCUUGUGAACAUCAAAGGGUGCGGCUAUCCGCCGAUCGUCGACUGCGACAACUUCACCCGCGAAUUGGGCUACGAGGGCGCCAAGUUCCCUUGCCAUUACAGCCGCGUGAACGGCAGCAUAGUGAUGGCGAACUAUAAUCGCGAGGCGCAGGUCACCACCAUCAUACACUUCUUCGCGGCACCAUUCGUAGUGACUCUCGCGACCAGCGUCGCUCUGUGUGUGAUGCACUGUGACUGUAGGUGCAGUCCGCCGCCUCGACAUUCCUCACGCGGGAUCAGAGGAGCCAGGGGUAACGAUCUCAGAAUCGAGUUAUGUAAAUUCUGCAACAUACAUAUCGGCGAUUAGAACGUCACUGUUAAACUCGGUGUGAGUAUACACCAGCUCGGUCAAGGUCCAUUGUUCCAUUUGAUUGAGAAGUUCGUUAUCGAGCCAACGCGUGGCGACCACGUGAAAGGCUGUUCGGAAAUUUUUGCUUAUCGCUGAUGAAAGCUUGUGUGUUGUACCACUGAUUGUCGGGAUAUCGGGCAUACGAAAUCCACGAGCCAUCGACGAGACACGAAAAUGGCUCGUCCCCUACUUCCAUCGACAUUGCCAAAAACGUACGACUUGCGAGCACGUGUCGAGCAACGUCGCGUCGGUAAGCAAUCGGGGAUCACGUUCCAUGUUUUAUUGUCUCGUUUUGACUGGCACAAUUCGAAUAAUGCUGCACCAAUACACGAACAUGAAGCUCAGGGCACAUUUUUAACGACGGGCAGUUUGCAUGCGUUACAACAGGGCCUCGAAAUUCGUUACUUCUGGUACACAUUUGUUUUGAAAGUUUUCAACAUUGAUACUCUUUAUAAAAUACCUGGAGAAUAAUAGAAAUAUGUAACCAGUAUAAUAAACUUCAGGUAUGUCUAAUUCUUUGUUCUAUUAAAGUAAAUGUUCCCAUAAAAAUUGAAUUGGUAAUAAACGUCAUCUCCAAACUAAAUCCAGAUUUUGCUUGAUUAAAGUUCUAUGCACAUUUGACUACUACUAAAAGUUGCACGUAUUAUACUACAGUUCUGUAACCAUACGAAUAAAAAUAUUAGAUAUUCUUAAUUGACAGACAUUGGAAAAACCCAUAACGCAUGCAACAACUUCGCAGAGAAAGUUGGUUCAUUUACACGGGGCCAAAAAUCUAGACAGUUGUAAUAAUACCUCUGAUACUAUCUAAGCGUGAUCUAUUUCUAUUCUAGUUUUCACUUUUCGAGCAUUUACAAUAUACAAGAAAGCUAUUGAUAUAGUAUAACCGUUUCCAUUUUUGUAAGAUUUAAACAGCGCUGCGAGUCGAAUGUCUGGCGAGAGUAAUAUUAAGAGUCACGCAUCUGUCAUCGAUGUCACUUUGCACAUUUAUGGUACAAUGGAGUUGUCUACUGUUGGGAGUUGAAAAAAAUGAUUCUCGAAGGAAUGUGUCAGCCAUUAUCUGCUGAAUUCGAAUGUCUUUUUAAACUACAACUAUCAAAGAAAUCAUAGACUGGUACUUAUGUCUUCUAGGGAGAAAGAAAGAUCAAUCCUGAAAAGGAUUGUGUUUAGUAUUAGGUCAGAUCUACCAAGAAAUCCACAUUCUAUUCACUCAUGGCACCAUAUUGCUCUCGAUUCAGGCCUAAUCUUUUUUUCUACACACAACAUAUCUCGAUCAACUUUUUUUCAGCUCCCAGCAGUACAUGCGUCUUCACUAAUGCACUCUAGGGAGAAAGAAAGAUCAGUUCUGAACCCCUACUAAGAAACCGACUGCCCAUAUUCCAUACUACCACAUUCUUCUCAACUCGGAACUGAUCUUUUCUUUUACCAAUAAUAUACUUCAAGUGAAUUCUCUUCAGCUCCAAAUAGUACACGCAUCCAGCACGCGUGGUGUGUUCGUCGACUGUGUUUUCGCUGUGCUUUGCAUCGCUGCGCGUUCGGGUACCAAUUUUAAUCGAAUCGUACAGACGAAAUCGGUGGAACGCAUUUUCCUUUUCUCACCAGAUCAAUUUCCCGGUCCUCGUAGCGAUGGGAAAAAUCCGACGGCGCACGGCGCCGGGGAAACGUCUGCUCGAGGAUCAAAGUCCUCGCCAAUUUCAUUAACGCGCAUGGAGAUCGAGACGCAUAGACGAGCUGGGGAUUAUCUUUUUGCGAUUUACCAGAAGCUAUGCGAUGCACGGCUGCAGCCGGAACACGGCCACCGUGAAAAUUCGAGCCUCGCUUGAAAGUUCUCGCGCGGAAGUUGGAAAAUGCAAAUUUCUGACGACCGCGUUCCUGCGUGGCCUCCUUCCCAGGGACGAGGAAAGGGGAGGAAACGUAUCGACGAAUGGCGCGCAUAUACUUGAACGACUGUAUGUAAUGUAUUAUUGAAUAUAAUAAACGAAUUGUACAGACAUAACGUGUGGCGAUCAGUUUCAUCCAAUUAAUCUACUGUUUGAUCUGUUUUUCUUUUUUUUUUUUAUUGUGUGUAAAUUGCUUUCAAUUUUGCGUUUUGAAUAUUGCCCAUGGUUAGUUAUCUUGUAUGAGCAUUUGAAGCUGAUUCGAGGCUUUUGAAAGUAUUUCAUUCUGUACCGAUUCGAUUUGUUCAUGUUACAAGUGGUGCAUUAUGUUUUUAUGGGUGCUAGAUGAAAUGGAGUUUGAGGGUACUUUGAUAAAAAUGAAUGAGAAGUAUUUUUAAAUUCAAUCUCAUUUUAUUGGGACGUUCAAUUUUACGUUGAAGAAGUGGCUGAUUCAGGACAAUGAUUCGUAAUUUAUUUUAUUAGUCUAUUACAAUUAAUUAAAUAUAAAUACAUUUGAAAUUGAAAAUUGAAUUUGAAAUUUGUCGUGUUUAAAACAUCGGAGAGUCAUAAAAGUCCAUAAUGGAACGUUUCAGACCUUCGACUAAAUAACUUGAGUUGCUGUACUAAACGAAUGAUUCCUAGCAAUUAAGCAUUGUAUUUGUUAUUUUAUAUAUUUGAACAAUCCAUUAAUCAUUUUCAUCCUUUCUUAUCGUUUGAUCAAGUUCAUAAAGUUGUCGCUGAUGUCGGUAAGGUAAGAUUUUCUUGACUUCAUAUCUUCCUGUAUUUCUCAAAAUCUCUAAUCGUAGAUCUGAAACAUUGUACCGGUAUAUCUAAAGCACAAAGGUUGUUUCGUUCUCUUUCAAUUAUUCAUUUUCACUUCUAUUCCACUAUGUGUAUCACUGUUUGCUAUAGUUGUCUCACCGUCUGGAGCGUAUCAC